UACGAAGGGGGCUAGCGUUGCUCGGAAUCACUGGGCGUAAAGGGUGCGUAGGCGGGUCUUUAAGUCAGGGGUGAAAUCCUGGAGCUCAACUCCAGAACUGCCUUUGAUACUGAAGAUCUUGAGUUCGGGAGAGGUGAGUGGAACUGCGAGUGUAGAGGUGAAAUUCGUAGAUAUUAGGGAAGAACACCAGUGGCGAAGGCGGCUCACUGGCCCGGUACUGACGCUGAGGCGCGAAAGCGUGGGGAGCAAACAGG
rnacentral:rRNA from 1 species